rnacentral:rRNA from 1 species
GACGAACGCUGGCGUCGUGCCUAAUACAUGCAAGUAGAACGCUGAAGAGAGGAGCUUGCUCUUCUUGGAUGAGUUGCGAACGGGUGAGUAACGCGUAGGUAACCUGCCUUGUAGCGGGGGAUAACUAUUGGAAACGAUAGCUAAUACCGCAUAACAAUGGAUGACACAUGUCAUUUAUUUGAAAGGGGCAAUUGCUCCACUACAAGAUGGACCUGCGUUGUAUUAGCUAGUAGGUGAGGUAAUGGCUCACCUAGGCGACGAUACAUAGCCGACCUGAGAGGGUGAUCGGCCACACUGGGACUGAGACACGGCCCAGACUCCUACGGGAGGCAGCAGUAGGGAAUCUUCGGCAAUGGGGGCAACCCUGACCGAGCAACGCCGCGUGAGUGAAGAAGGUUUUCGGAUCGUAAAGCUCUGUUGUAAGUCAAGAACGGGUGUGAGAGUGGAAAGUUCACACUGUGACGGUAGCUUACCAGAAAGGGACGGCUAACUACGUGCCAGCAGCCGCGGUAAUACGUAGGUCCCGAGCGUUGUCCGGAUUUAUUGGGCGUAAAGCGAGCGCAGGCGGUUUGAUAAGUCUGAAGUUAAAGGCUGUGGCUCAACCAUAGUUCGCUUUGGAAACUGUCAAACUUGAGUGCAGAAGGGGAGAGUGGAAUUCCAUGUGUAGCGGUGAAAUGCGUAGAUAUAUGGAGGAACACCGGUGGCGAAAGCGGCUCUCUGGUCUGUAACUGACGCUGAGGCUCGAAAGCGUGGGGAGCGAACAGGAUUAGAUACCCUGGUAGUCCACGCUGUAAACGAUGAGUGCUAGGUGUUGGAUCCUUUCCGGGAUUCAGUGCCGCAGCUAACGCAUUAAGCACUCCGCCUGGGGAGUACGACCGCAAGGUUGAAACUCAAAGGAAUUGACGGGGGCCCGCACAAGCGGUGGAGCAUGUGGUUUAAUUCGAAGCAACGCGAAGAACCUUACCAGGUCUUGACAUCCCGAUGCUAUUUCUAGAGAUAGAAAGUUACUUCGGUACAUCGGUGACAGGUGGUGCAUGGUUGUCGUCAGCUCGUGUCGUGAGAUGUUGGGUUAAGUCCCGCAACGAGCGCAACCCCUAUUGUUAGUUGCCAUCAUUCAGUUGGGCACUCUAGCGAGACUGCCGGUAAUAAACCGGAGGAAGGUGGGGAUGACGUCAAAUCAUCAUGCCCCUUAUGACCUGGGCUACACACGUGCUACAAUGGUUGGUACAACGAGUUGCGAGUCGGUGACGGCGAGCUAAUCUCUUAAAGCCAAUCUCAGUUCGGAUUGUAGGCUGCAACUCGCCUACAUGAAGUCGGAAUCGCUAGUAAUCGCGGAUCAGCACGCCGCGGUGAAUACGUUCCCGGGCCU